AUUGAACGCUGGCGGCAGGCCUAACACAUGCAAGUCGAACGAGUGGCGGACGGGUGAGAAAUGUAGGGGAAAUUGCCUGAUGGAGGGGGAUAACAACGGGAAAGGGUACUAAAAACCGAAAACCAUCAGUUGUGGCCAGAUGGGAUUGGUUUGUGGGUGGGGGAACGGCUCACAAAGGCGACGAUCCCUAGCUGGCAUGAGAGGAUGACCAGCCACACUGGAACUGCGACACGGUCCAGACUCCUACGGGAGGCAGCAGUGGGGAAUAUUGCACAAUGGGCGAAAGCCUGAUGCAGCCAGGCCGCGUGUAUGAAGAGGGCCUUCGGGUUGUAAAGUACGUUCAGCGGGGAGGCGUUACCCGCAGAAGAAGCACCGGCUAACUCCGUGCCAGCAGCCGCGGUAAUUC
rnacentral:rRNA from 1 species